UCAGCCCCAGAACAAACCUAUUUCCUACCACGGACUUUCCAGAUGGAGAUAGACCUCCUCCAUUCCAAGACUGAUCUCCUUUCUCCAGGAUCCUCCCCAAUUCCCACCCCUGACCCUCGCCUUCAACCACCAAUAAGGAGCCUCCCUCGACCCAGAAAGGUCCCUCAUCUACCAUGCCUCCCUUGCCAGCUGUGACAGUCUCUCAUCUUUGGACAGAAUGAUUUUAGUGUAUUUGUCAAUGGAAGGACCCUCUGCUGGCCAAUUGAGGAAAUGCAGCCCAGGACUGGGAAGAAGAAAAUGAGGGGUUCUCCAAAGCUGCAGACCGCCAAUGUUCUUUGCCCAAGAGUUUCCCUUUUCAUCUGAGAACCCACCCACUUCCUUCCAGUCUCAGCUUGCUGCUUUCCUUGCCCUAGAACUUGAACUCCACCAACCCCCUUGGCUGUAUCCUUUGCAUGGAACCAACCAAGUGUCUGACCAGCUUUUUGGGGUGGCCAGUUCCCCUCCUCCUAAUACAGGGCCCACUCCAUUAAAGGGUGGGGCAGAAAGGCCUUUGCUUGUAAGUGUUCAAAAUGCCUUAUUUCCCUUGGUCUCUUCUACUCCAGUGACCUGUCUCUACUCAGCAGCCUGCUUCCCUGUGGACAACUCUGGACUCUGAAUGUACCCUUUCUGACCACAACUUUCCCCUUUCGCCCUCCAAUUUUCAGAAGCCUCACUGGAACUUUUAGUGCUUUGAUUCUAACUACUACCUUCCAGUCUCCCAAAGCCUCCCUGUCCAUCCUAGAUCUCAUGAUCCUUCUCCAGCUCUUUAGCCCUAAGCAGUCCAUGUCCUGGCUGUCAGGCCAUGGCUGU